UUUAAAUGACAAACAGGAUGGGAACUGAUAAUGAGGAAUGUAUGUCCAGUUUUUUUUUGUUUUUUUUUUAAAUACAGAUAUGAAAGAUGACAUUACCCUAACUUAGAGUCAUAGGAGUUUCAUUAAUUUAUUUACUCAGAUACUGAAACAGACAUCUGGCAUAUUCCUAUAAUCAGUAUCAUGGCCUUUGUAUACAACAAAAUUGAUUGGAGCUCCUAGACUAGAAAUAUAAUUCAAGAUUUAAAUAAGGCACUGGUCAUAGUUUUAGAAAGUGUGGCUAGCAUUCUGAAGGAAGACAGAGAGAUGGAAAGACAUCAAAGAAUGGGCAGGUCUGCCAAGAAAUGGUUUAUCCAGGGCUAAGUACAGAGAGGAAUAUAGAAGGGCUGUUGACAGAUCUUGUGUGGUGCCGCCAUGGUUCAACAGACUAAUUGAUUGGUAAUGGUAAGAAUUUAAUGUAUUUAAAAAAAAAAAAUUGUGUUAAUUACAUUAAGGGACUUAAUCAGUCUUUUUUUAUUUCCAGAAAAUAAUACCAGGGUUAUGCUCCUUUGACCAUUGAGUUCCAGGAUGAAGAAUGAAAGACAGAGAGCAAUGUGAAGACAUGAAAGAAUGGGCAGGUCUGCCAUGAAAUGGUUUAUCCAGGGCUAAGUACAGAGAGGAAUAUAGAAGGGCUGUUGACAAAUCUUGUGUGGUGCCCCCAUGGUUCAACAGACUGAUUGAUAGAUGCUGAAACAGACAUCUGGCAUAUUCCUAUAAUCAGUAUCAUGGCCUUUGUAUACAACAAAAUUGAUUGGAACUCCUAGACUAGAAAUAUAAUUCAAGAUUUAAAUAAGGCACUGGUCAUAGUUUUAGAAAGUGUGGCUAGCAUUCUGAAGGAAGACAGAGAGAUGGGAAGACAUCAAAGAAUGGACAGGUCUGCCAUGAAAUGGUUUAUCCAGGGCUAAGUACAGAGAGGAAUAUAGAAGGGCUGUUGACAGAUCUUGUGUGGUGCCCCCAAGGUUC